rnacentral:lncRNA from 1 species
CGCCGAGAGGCUUUUUGGCACAAGCCUGUGGAAAUCGAAUCAAGGGUUUCUGGAGUGGAGUGAUUCCAGCUGCUUUGAGCUGAAGGAAAAGUAGCCUGGCCAGUAAAGCGUCCGUGUGCUGGAGGAGUGCAGCCACCCAUCCCGGCGGGCCUUGCAGGACGACCGACACCAGGAAGGCUUUGUGCCAGGCCCAGCAGCCACCCCCAGCCGCCUUAUGCAAGUGGGUACAUGCCCUCGCCAGACGCCAGCUUUCUGAUCUGCGUCUUUAGAUUUUUUCCAUCGCCUAAGCGUUACUUCUCCACUGAUCGGUGAGUUUAGUGAUGGCCAGAGCUCGCUGGAGGACAAUGGACUUGGAUAACCAAA